CUUGUUGUUGAUCAAGUUGUGGAGAGCAAUUACACUUCGGAUAAGUGAAGAUAGAUAUAUGACCAACAUCAUAUCAUUCGUUUUCACUGAAAAUGAUUUUACUAAUUCAGCAACAUUUAGAUUGGGUAAUAGAUUGAAGACAUCCUGCAAAUGGUAUAGAAUCUCAUGGUUCAAGGGGAGCUUCCCAUCAAUGACAAGGUCUAAAUAACUCCGUAUCUCUUGAAGUCGAGCAUCCAAUCCCUUCAAAGCUGCCAGUUUCCCAGUUACCUCAGUUGCAAGGGUACUGAUAGUAGUAUCUUUCACAUCCCUUAGCAAGUGCUCAACACCAAUUUCUUCAACUUCAUGAGCAGCGAUUUCUGAAGGUACAUGCACAAACACAUUCUGGCUUUUCUGAGUUGCAUUCUCUUUAACUUCCUCAACUGCAUAGUACGCCUUAGUUGGUAUUCCUAGCUCCUUAGGCUGGACAUCAAUUAUAACCAAGACUGGAGUAGGGACGUAGUCAUUAAAAAGCCCAUGAAUGUUGAGGUCAUUUUCCCGAAGUUUGGGACCAGUGCUAUACCAACCAACAACAUGCUCCUUUGCGUUUAUCCUACGGAACAUGGAAAACAUCGAUUCAUGAUAGUUAUGGUCAAGAAACCAGAUACUAGGGUCCCUCUCCUCCUCCUCAAAGGGCACUGCAUAGCUAUUAGUAACAUCAACAGUGCCUUUAAACGAAGUUCCAAGCAAAACCCCAACAACACGUUUCCUUGUGUCUCUUGCAACUCUAUUGUAGUGGUCUACGAUGCUCAAAAGCACAAGCGGGUGAACAAUUACCUUCUCAAUCGGCCUCGAAGAUAUUUGCUGAGAUUUGAUUACAUCCAUUAUUGCUUCUUCCUCUCUUCGAAAUCUGGAGAAAAAGAAAAAAAAAACUUGUUCUUCCCCCCGGGUGAACAA
rnacentral:misc_RNA from 1 species